CUUACCUGUUCCUGCCUACCUUGUGUUCUAGGACUUUUAUUGGAAAAGCCACAUAGAGGUCAAACUCUGUCUAGCUAUCCGUCUAUAAAGAAAUCCAGACAGCGUAAUGCAGCAUUUUAUGAACAACAAGUGGAUCUUCUGGGAAUGACAGAAUCCUCCCUACGAAUUAGAAGCAUGGAAGGAUUCGUUACACUUUAACAUGUUUCUUCAGUGACAUGUGCGACCUUGACUUUUAAUUAUUCAAGAGUGGCAAGUAUGGAACCUAAAGUGGAUUGUUGACACAAGAUGCCUGGAAAUAAGGAAUCACUCAGGCUGCAUCUUCUCUCCCUUCUACUCUCCCUGAGAUGAGAGAAGAACGAUCACCAAUGGCAAAUGCAGUUGUAGCGAAGUAAAACCAAGAGCUGGCCUCACGCGCCACAGAGAAUGCUGCGUCUCCUCCUCAUGGUUUCUGGGGCUCCUCACGCUGAGAAACUUCUGUAGCCACAAAUCAUAUAAAUGAUCCCUGAAAGUAUAGUCUUUCCAUUUCUUACUAAUGAAGUCAUGCUCUGCUCACCUCCAACUUGACAGUGUUUGGUAGCUUUGUCAUAGGCUUCUCAUUGCUGAGGCAGGAACCAUAGGAAUAUUGGCCUCAGAAACAGUAAGGUGAGGGACAAAGAGUCUAAGAUAAGGAACCUAAUAUUGCAUCAUUGCCUAGUGGCAGGGAUGGCAGAACGCUGUCAUUCCCCACCCUGUGCCGGUGGCAGACAUUGCUAAUCAAUCAUGCACUCUUAUCUACUGAACCUGAGGAGCCUCAGACUCCUCAAAAUGGUGGCCCUGAGUCACAUCCCAG
rnacentral:lncRNA from 10 species